rnacentral:rRNA from 1 species
UACAGAGGGUGCGAGCGUUAAUCGGAAUUACUGGGCGUAAAGCGUGCGUAGACGGCUAUCUAAGUCGGGUGUGAAAGCCCCGGGCUCAACCUGGGAAUUGCAUUCGAGACUGAAUAGCUAGGGUACGGUAGAGGGAAGCGGAAUUUCCGGUGUAGCGGUGAAAUGCGCAGAUAUUGGGAGGAACACCAAUGGCGAAGGCAGCACCCUGGGCCGGUACUGACGCUGAGGAGCGAAAGCGUGGGGAGCAAACAGG